rnacentral:lncRNA from 1 species
CUAGGACGAGACGGGGCAGGGGCGGCUCCCCGUUGCCAUCCCUGCAUUAACAUCCAUAAAUAAAAUGCUCAUGCACCGCCUUUGUUGAACCGCCCCCACCAAUUUCAAUGCUUUUGGCGUUGCAAACAAGCAAAAAGCAUCAUCAUUUACACCGCCACGAUAUCAAGAUUCCAUGUGACAAAAGCAAAAGUUAGAAAUCAUCAAAAUCACGCAACCAUUUAAAAAUUUAUGUCCAUAUCAACUCAUAAUAUUUUAGUAUUUACAAAGUGAAUUGACUACACAUGAUGACUCAACGCCAACAAGGCAGAUUUUUAUACAGAUUUUCCUCACUUGACUAUCAAAAUUGACCCCAAAAUAAACACAAAUACUAAAGACCCCUUUCAUCCCUUUCGUUACAGCAAUAGGGUGCCCCCAAUGACUUGGUUGAAUUAUUUUUGGUCAAUGAAAACAUACUCAGAUUAAUUACAGACUCCUUGCCUUACAGACACUUUUUGACAUGUAUUUACACUAUACAAAAUGAUCAAUGAUCUCUAUUACUUGCUCACUGGAUCAAACUGUUCAAAAUUCCUCUCCUGCUAAAAUCUUCAAUUUUUGUAUGUACUAGUUUUUUUGAUUGCUCUAAGCCAGAGCAGGGAUGCUGCAGUUGCGUCUGUCCCUGUCAAGGCAUUCGAAGCCCUCGACCCUCACAGCUGGAUUGUUGCCAAAAUUUGUCCGCACGCAUCCACCUUUACGGGUGGAGGAUGGGGACGGAGCCAGCUCAGAUGGGAAACUUGAUCCAUUUAAUCAGUGAUAGCAAAAAAAAGCCCGCCACAUCUCAAAUGGGGCAAAAAAACUCGUCCCGAAUGGGUUGGCUGGGCGAGAUUCCUUGCUCGGGGCGGGAUGAGACAAGGAUGUCCCACCCCGUGAAGGAAAAAAAUAAAAAUAAAUUAAAAAUAAUUUUAUUUUUAGACAAUUCAUUCGUUAAAAAUCAAUUUUGAAUUUGUAUUUUAUUUUCUAAUAAUAACAUAACUCAAAACUUUAAAAAUAUAAAAAAAAUUAUAAUUAAAAUUAAACAGAAUAACAAACGAAACAAAAAAUUGUCCAUCCCUGCCCUAGGACGAGACGGGGCAGGGGCGGCUCCCCGUUGCCAUCCCUGCAUUAACAUCCAUAAAUAAAAUGCUCAUGCACCGCCUUUGUUGAACCGCCCCCACCAAUUUCAAUGCUUUUGGCGUUGCAAACAAGCAAAAAGCAUCAUCAUUUACACCGCCACGAUAUCAAGAUUCCAUGUGACAAAAGCAAAAGUUAGAAAUCAUCAAAAUCACGCAACCAUUUAAAAAUUUAUGUCCAUAUCAACUCAUAAUAUUUUAGUAUUUACAAAGUGAAUUGACUACACAUGAUGACUCAACGCCAACAAGGCAGAUUUUUAUACAGAUUUUCCUCACUUGACUAUCAAAAUUGACCCCAAAAUAAACACAAAUACUAAAGACCCCUUUCGUCCCUUUCGUUACACCAAUAGGGUGCCCCCAAUGACUUGGUUGAAUUAUUUUUGGUCAAUCAAAACAAACUCAGAUUAAUUACAGACUCCUUGCCUUACAGACACUUUUUGACGUGUAUUUACACUAUACAAAAUGAUCAAUGAUCUCUAUUACUUGCUCACUGGAUCAAACUGUUCAAAAUUCCUCUCCUGCUAAAAUCUUCAAUUUUUGUAUGUACUAGUUUUUUUGAUUGCUCUAAGCCAGAGCAGGGAUGCUGCAGUUGCGUCUGUCCCUGUCAAGGCAUUCGAAGCCCUCGACCCUCACAGCUGGAUUGUUGC